rnacentral:rRNA from 1 species
ACGUAGGUGGCAAGCGUUGUCCGGAAUUAUUGGGCGUAAAGAGCGCGCAGGUGGUUAUACAAGUCUCAUGUGAAAGUGCGGGGCUCAACUCAGUGUUGCAUGGGAAACUGGAUGACUUGAGUGCAGGAGGGGUAGGCGGAAUUCCUAGUGUAGCGGUGAAAUGCGUAGAUAUUAGGAGGAACACCAGUGGCGAAGGCGGCUUACUGGACUGUAACUGACACUGAGGCGCGAAAGCUAGGGUAGCAAACGG